GGGUAGAAGGCCAUUUAGAUUACUAAUCAAGAGGCUAUAGUGGUUUGUGCUCAUUUGUCUAUUCCCUCUUACAGAUUUAAAAAGAAAAAAAAAAGUAGUGUUUCAUACAUAGUAGUUAGUGUUCAGGAAAUUAUUGGUUGAUUUCAAAUGUCAAGGGUCAAUUAUAACUGAAGAGAGAGACUUACAGAAUGACAAUAUCCUAGAUUUAUAGAAAGAGAAUGUUGAAAGUGGGGCUUAUUCCUUUUGGUCUAGGGCACAGAAGAGCUAGAGGAGAGACCAAGAGACUAUAUGGCUAUAUAUAGGAGAAAAUGUGCCAAAUGAACUAACUGGCUUAUUCCCAACAGUUCUUUAUAGCCUACCUAAUAAAAGCAGCUAGAUUUUCUAUCAUAAAGUUUAUGUACAAAAAAUCUUUUUUGGAGAGGAGUUAAUUUUAGGGUGGGAGUAGGAAAAUAGACGCGAGAGCUGUUAGUAAUCAUUCCUCUUCUCUUUCCUAGUUCAUUUUAUCUAUGGGCCAUUGGAUCCUGUUAAUCCCUAUCCAGAGUUUUUGGAGCUAUACAGGAAAACGCUGCCGCGGUCCACAGUGUCGAUUCUGGAUGACCACAUUAGCCACUAUCCACAGCUAGAGGAUCCCAUGGGCUUCUUGAAUGCAUAUAUGGGCUUCAUCAACUCCUUCUGAGCUGGAAAGAGUAGCUUCCCUGUAUUACCUCCCCUACUCCCUUAUCUGUUGUAUAUUCCACUUAGAAAAAAAUGCCCAAAAGAGGUCCUGGCCAUCAAACACUAUUCUCUCAAAGAAGUCCACGUUACUCACAUUGGUGAACAGUAUAUAGGAAAAGGCCAGCAGGAGCUCCGACUAAGGGUUAACAUAGUAGUUUGCCUCCCAUUCCUUUGACAUUCUGAUCAAAAGUGGAUGGAUUUGACUUUGUCUUUGUGUUAUUAGGAAAUUCUGAUGAGCACUACUCACUGAUGCAGAAAGACAGUCGUUUGCAUAAAAGACUUCUUAACACUUCUUUGGGCUUUUCUCAAACAUUUAGAAGUGCUAAUUUCUGGCCCAGCCCCACUGGAAUCCUCAAGUAAAAAAUAAGAGGACCUCCUUACUUCUCUCCUUGAAUGGCUUUAAGGGCACAAACUUUUUCAAAGUUCUCUAAGCAACACAGCAUCAAGUGAGAGUGAGUCUCCUUUAUCAUAACUGUGGAUUUAGUUUCAUCAUCUGCUUCUAAUCACAGAUUUGUUAACAUAGAUAUUGGUUUAAAUAAUGCAGUAUUCUAAGUAUACUUUAAGACUGUGAUUUACCUAUACAUAUAUGUAUUUUAUAAGGAUACUAAACCAGCAGACCCUUAUUCUGCCAAAGUAGUGAACCUUAUUAAACUUGUGUAAUUUUUGAAUUGAACUAAAUCCAAACUAUUUACAGAAUUUCCUAAAAUCACAGGACAUUAAGGACCAAUAGCAUCUGUGCCAGAGAUUGACUGUUCUCAGUUGGAAAGACCAAGUCAUAAAAGCAAACAUCAUUCUGACUUCUCAUACCUCGGUUAUUAGAAGGAUGUCUCUCCUGAGCUAAAUUGAGGGGAAGGGAUCAUUGUGUAGUCUAAGUUACCAUGCUGAAGGUACAUGGAUUCCUUUCAUCAUGAUUGCUUAACUUCCCGUUGGCUGUCCCAGAGAGGCCUUCUCAUGUAGCUCAGCAAUUCCUGUACCUUAUAGACAGGAAAGUUCUGGAAGCUUUAAGAACAAAUUCUGAAAGACCUAUGAACAGUGGUGCUGAAUACUUUUUUUUAAGCCACAUUUCAUUGUCUUAGUUAAAGCAGGAUUAAGUGAUUAUUUUAAAUUCAUUUUUUAUUAGCAUCUUCAAGCAUAACAACUUUUAAACUGGAAUAAGUGUUUAUUUUCUAUUAAUAAAAUGAAUUGUGACAAAA